ACCAACUGCUGCGCCACGGCCGUGGACUCGUGGCGCAUCUUUGUCGAUCUUGUUAGUUGGGGCAGUUGGGGACUAGUUAUUUUAGCUAUGGAGGGGUUGCCGGUCGACGACGCGGUGUUUAGCAGUAGCAGGGUAUGCGGCCUAGGGGGCCGUGCCCCGGCCCAGCUGCGUCCCUUUACCUCCACGGAGGACGCAUACUUAGCUCGUCGAUGGUAAAGCCCCUCCAUCCACGCGCCGCCAGUUUUCGGCGAAAACGCUUGUGGAGUCGAUACGGUCCCUUGGUGUAGUGGCUGCACUGAGUGCUGGCGCAGCUGGUCAUAGAAUGAAGAACCAGCUUUGUUGGCUUUCCGGAGAAAACGAGGGGCGGCCGGUGAGGAUGUGGUGAGGGAGACAACGCUGCCUCCUCGCCAUCAUUUGUGUUGACGACGACGAUAAUUGUACGCGCCAUCUUUCGAGCGUCCAUGCACUUAUUUAUUUAAUGUAACAAGCUUAUAGUUGCCGUGCGUAAAAUGACGUUACAAUAGAACCGGGCAAGAAAAAGCAACUGAAAACAAGCAGACCGAGACGGGCUUGCACGAGCUGAGAACAAGACUCACUCCUUGCUCUGCUAGCCGAUUUGCACACCUACCUACAGUGGCACAUUCUGGGCAAUCGACCAAGAAGUGUUCAUAUACCCUGUUGCAAAUAAAUAUCCAAUGACCCAAGUUGCCUAUUCGGGCACAUACUUAGAGGCCAGAGUUGUAUAAUCGCCAAGACAGCAGCAGCUAGCGCCCAUAAUAAGGGUAGAAGAGGUAAAUAAACUUGGCUUUAACCCUUUCUCUACUGCCGACGGGUUUAGUGGUGAUGAGUGUUUGUACUAAUAUUAUUGAUGACAAAUACAGUGAUGAAUGAAAAUGCCCCGCAGAGCAAACCCAUGACGCAUAUAGGUGUCAAAUUGAGUCUAGUUGCAAUUUUUGACACUAGGUUACCACACUUGUUCAUGUUGUGCCGUUGUUUCUCACCUUACUGUUUAUUGCCAGCUCCUCUGACACUUGCACGGGAAACAUGGCUGCCUUCCUGCCGCGUGGCAGUAAAAGGGCAUGCAAAAGGAAGUAUUUUGACGACUCCUGGUCACAAGAAAGCUCUCUAGAGCUUUGCUCAGAAACAGAAAAUGUGUCCUCCUCUGAGCACUCGGGCGACGACGAUUCUGUGGAUGGGCCGGAGGUUCUUGUUGCUGCCCACGAGUGAGACUCCAAGGCAGACAUUUUCCAAGAAUUCCCCCACAGAGAAGAAAACAACACCCACGAGGAUAUGCAUACUUUGCUGCCAGUCUGGAAACAAAGAUGGUUCACAGAAAAAUGAGGACAGUGCUGGUUCAAACAAACAGUGCAGAGUUGGCCUCUGUGCUGCGCCUUGCUUCAAAUCCUACCACACGAAGGCGACUUUGUGAAGUGCCUUUGGAGUUGUGGAAAAGUAGCCACUAGUCAUGUGCAGUCGCGAGCAAAAGUUUGUGGACCAAAGAUGCCACGAUUUUAUUUUUUUUCUUCGCAGCCUGGGCAUUCCGGCUGAAAUAAAGAGCGUGCGCCUACGUGCACGUGUUUGACCACUACAACGUAUUAAGCCAAUUCGAGGCCGCGGAGCUCUGCUUGUAUUUAAAUUGUUUGCCGAUGCCAUGGUCUCCAAACUUGUGCUCGCGACUGUACAUGCGUUUUGCAACUUUCGAUUAUUUCUCCUAUCUUUUUUCUCUUUCAUACUGUAACGCGCCUUGCAGAGCGCUGUGCCACAAGACCUCAGUGCAGUCCAGAGAAGCCCUCUUUAAACUUUUAUUUCAAGCAGUUUAACAAAUAAAGCAACCUUACUGAAUUGAAAAAAAUGGCACCAUUUUGUUCAGAAAAUAAAUCUCUAGAAACCGCCAAAAAAAGUUCUGGUAAAUUGGAUACCAUCCUCAUUUUUCACGGAAUGGAAAGGGUAAAAAAACCGCUUCCAUUAUAGCUCUCAGAGCAAUGAGAAUCAGUGUGGCUAUUCAGUAGGACCUCCAUGGUAAAAAAAUUAUCUUGUAGGUAAUGUGCUACGAUUUGUGUCAUAUCUGCUAACCCCGGGUGCACACGUUGCCCCCUAAGGCGCUAUUAAGCUGGUAAUAAAAAAAUGAGACAAUUACCCUUCUUGUAACUUUGCCAAGAUUGCUUCAACAGCAUAUGCUAUUCCUUUACAAUCAAUUUAGCCAGAGUAAAAUUUCGAUGCAGUAGGCCUUUAAAAAUUCUAUCUUUAGCAUGUGGCUGAUACUAGAGCACCGCCAUAUGCACUGGUCGCUAUCAUUACACUGGAAAGUACAUUGUCCAAACUGUGAUGAUGUGAACUUGCUGCAACGAGUCUAUUACAUGACAAGUGUACGAGACCACUUAGGCAGAUAAUUUUUUUCCCUUUCUUCGAAAGGCUGAGAUGCGGCCAACUUUUUGUUCGUGGAGUGUAAUGGCCACAUUGACAAAUGGGCCUUGAUUUGAAUCUUUUCCUCGACUUUGAGCGGUGCACAGCAUCGUCCUACAACUGUAAGAGCUAGUGCUUCAGCAACACUCAUUUCUUAUGAAAAGGAUUUUCUUGCGAAACAUACUUUUACUCCAGUGCAUCAAAGUAGAUCCCAAAAGCAACCUGGUCAGAAAGUUUUUCUUUUUGGAACCACUGAGGAGUGAAGCGCAAUUUCCAGUUCAUUCAGGUGGAGGGACAUCCUAGAAUACAAGGGAUUGUAAAGCGACAACUGCGCUCCCAUUUUGAAAGAGGGGAGACGGGAAAAAGCCCAUGGCUCACAAAUGUCACACCUGUAUAUUUGCCACGUCGAAAAAUAAGCUAAGCAGACACAGAGGCUCAACACAUUCCAGCCGUGUCACAGCUACGGUGUGGCCAGUCU